GAAUCGGGGAGCUAGCUUCAAGCUUUUUGCAAGGUUACUAGUUCGUUUUCAUUGGGGGUUUUGAAGAUCAAGGGAAUUAGAAAGAGGAGCUUCAUGCUUCGGGUCGGAGAAGGAAAGACAUAGAAUUUGGAUUUUUCUUCUUCGUAGAGUUUUGGGAAGACUGAGGCAAUCACUGCUGAAGUCAGUGUUGUAAUGGUGAAUCGGGAUUUUUAAAUGAAGUGGGUUUGAAUACUCUUGACUGUUUUGUAAAAUCGAGUUACGUCUGUGAUUGAAGGAUUAAAAGGGUGUCUAUAGGAUUGAGUAUGCGGAAUGAAUGAAAUUUAUGGGGUUAAUCUAACAGGACAGUCAGUGGAAACAAGAUCGUAAGUAC
rnacentral:lncRNA from 1 species